rnacentral:lncRNA from 1 species
GCUAUUGAGUUCUAAGCAGCCAUUAUAUGAUCAAAUUUGUGCUUUCCUGAUAAUUCACAUACUAACAGUAUAGCAAUGCAAGCUGAAUUAGGAGAUUAUUAUAAGUAGUUCAGAUAGGAGAUGAGGUCUUGAACUUGUCAGUGAAGUGAAUUCCAGAGUGACAAUGAGAUUGGAAAGGUUGUGUGGAGGUAGAAUCAAUGGGAUUAAGUGUGGCAUACUGUGGCAGCUAUGUCCCUUACCUCCUCCCACCACCCUCACGAACUUUUCAUGUCAUGCUGUAUCCAUGUCCUUAAGAAGUCUCCUUCCAGACUAAUUCACAUGACUUACUUUUGCCAUUGGCAUAAUAAUUGUUAGUAGAGGCUCAAAAACUCCUUGCAUUUUGGAACUUAACACUCCUAUUGCAACAAUCCUUUUGUCACCAUGUAAUCAAAUCAAGGCUACCCUCCUAGAAGGGGGCCAUUUGGAGAAGGGCCCCAUCUGUCCCAGCUAUCUCAGCCUUCCCAGUUGAGGCCCUAAGCAUGUGAAAGGCCAUCCUAGAUUAUGCAGCUGCAACUGAAGAAUCAAUAAAUCAACACACACAAUUGUAAGAAAUUUAAAAAAUUGUAAGUCUCUAGAUCUAGGGCAGUUCAUUUUCCUUUUUUUUUUUUUUUUUUUUGUACACAGGUUCUCGCCAUGUAAAUUGAGGCUGGGCUUGAAUUCGCUACGUAGCUCAGCUGGCCUUGAACUCGCAGCGAUCCUCCUCCCUAAACUUCCUGCUGAGAUUACAGGCAUGUGCAACCAUGCCCCACCGAGGCAGUUCAUUACAUAACAAAAAUUAACUGAUAGCCUGAGUGACCAUUUACAUGUGGGGUGAAAGAGUAAGAGUCUAAAUGGAUCUUUUUUUUUUUUUUGGUACCAGGGAUCGAACUUGGGUCCUUGCGCUCGGAGGCAGGCAGCAGAACCACUGAGCUAAAUAACUGGUGCUGGAUCUUUACUUUUAUAAGAGUACCAGGGAUCAAACUCAGGACCUUGCAUUUGGCCAACAGGCGCUGGCACCAUUGAGGUAAAUCCCCGGCCUGAAUUUGAGAUGUUCUUAAUACUAUCUGCCCCAGAUAGGAAAACAUCUGCCUCUUUUGGUACCUGUUUCCCUUCCCUCAUAGCUUGUUUUUCCUCUCUUCUUGCCCGGUUAUUUUGUCUUGGCCUUGACAGGCUUCCUUUGAACACAGGUGUUUGUUGCUUUCCUGUUUCAUUCAUAUGUGAUACAGCUGAUGGUUUAGAUAUUUGUUCCCUAAAUAUCUGAGGACUAAUUUGGAAUGUUAGUGUUUUCUUUGGGGUGUAAUUAAAUAGAUUGUUUUUAUUAAAAUACUCUUGGUUUAGUGUAUUUAUAUUCCCAGUCUUACUCUAAGUUCUAUGAGGGUAUGAACUACAGUUAGUCCUUUUUCAUUGUAUCCUCUAAUUCGAGGAUGGUAAAUAUAUAGCACCUUGUUGCCAUUCUGCUUAUCCACACCAGUGGUUAAUAUUGACAACUCAUUUCCAAGUCAGUCUUGUUCACCCUGGACUCACCUCAGGUUCCGUGUGUGUGUGUGUGUGUGUGUGUGUGUGUGUGUGUGUGUGUGUGUGUGUUACUGGAAAUUGAACCCGGAGCCUUCACAAUGAGCUAUAUUCCCAGCCCUUUUUAAUUUUGAGACUGGC